AACCUGCCCUUUGCACUGGGAUAGCCUCGGGAAACCGAGGUUAAUACCGGAUACUCCAUAUUUGUCGCAUGGCGAAUAUGGGAAAAGCUCCGGCGGCAAAGGAUGGGCCCGCGGCCUGUUAGCUAGUUGGUGGGGUAGUGGCCUACCAAGGCAAUGAUGGGUAGCCGGGUUGAGAGACCGACCGGCCAGAUUGGGACUGAGACACGGCCCAGACUCCUACGGGAGGCAGCAGCC
rnacentral:rRNA from 1 species